GAAUUAUCGGAGUGCAAAUCUGCGCCGAUGAAGAGUAUGAAUCAACGUGGACUGCAUACUGUUUUGAACAUCGACAUCUUGAACGCAUAUUGCGGUUACGGGAUAUCCUGUGGCCACGUCUGUCCGAGGGUCG
rfam:Trichobilharzia regenti genome assembly, scaffold: TRE_contig0033033